rnacentral:rRNA from 1 species
UACGAAGGGGGCUAGCGUUGCUCGGAAUCACUGGGCUUAAAGGGCGCGUAGGCGGAUCAGCAAGUCCGGGGUGAAAGCUUUCGGCUCAACCGGAAAAGGGCCUUGGAUACUGCUGGUCUGGAGGGAGGUAGGGGCAUGUGGAACUUCCGGUGGAGCGGUGAAAUGCGUAGAUAUCGGAAGGAACGCCGGUGGCGAAGCGACGUGCUGGACCUCUCUGACGCUGAGGCGCGAAAGCCAGGGGAGGCAAACGGG